rnacentral:lncRNA from 1 species
UCUCUGGCACAUCAUCAUGCCCAUUGGUGGUUUUAGGUUUUCAAUAAUACAUUUUUAAGGUUCUCUUUUUAUUGUUCCCAAAGUGAAUUGACAUACACAUGGCAUCAAUGAUUUUUGUUGGAGAAUUAGGAUUAGGCUCAUGAUUACGGUAUUACUGGAGAAUUUUAGACAAAGCAAAACUGCAUCGUAUAAUCAUACUGGAAUUAGAGCUAUUGCUUUGAUUAUUCCACAGAUCAGCCUGUCUAGUUCCCUAUUUGUUUUCACUCCACGUUUUGAACCAACUAGUCUGUAGCCUAUUCAUCUUAUUCGAAAAUAAAAACAAAGCCCAGGGGCUGCCAAAUCAAUACUGCCCCGAAACUGGCAUGUUCAUGUUUUAUUUGUUU